UACGUAGGGUGCGAGCGUUAAUCGGAAUUACUGGGCGUAAAGCGUGCGCAGGCGGUUUGUUAAGACAGGUGUGAAAUCCCCGGGCUUAACCUGGGAACUGCGCUUGUUACUGGCAGACUUGAGUGUGGCAGAGGGGGGUGGAAUUCCAGGUGUAGCAGUGAAAUGCGUAGAGAUCUGGAGGAACACCGAUGGCGAAGGCAGCCCCCUGGGUUAACACUGACGCUCAUGCACGAAAGCGUGGGGAGCAAACAGG
rnacentral:rRNA from 1 species